GACAUAUAUAAAAUGAUAAGGCUUCUUGAUUAAAAUGAGGACUUUUACUUUUAGUUCCCAAGCUAUGUUUAGGGAUGUUCAUGCUAUGAGCAUAUAUGAUGGUAAAGGUGAAAUUAUGGAUUAGGCUAUCUAAAAUUAAGUUUCAUAGAAAAAAAAAGGUCUUAACUACCAUGAUCAUGAUGAUGAAACAUAAACUUACAAAAAUGUAGUACAGGUAUUAAUAAACUAAU
rnacentral:lncRNA from 1 species